rnacentral:lncRNA from 1 species
GUUGACUUCAUAGGUGGCUUUGAUUCUUAUGGAUACCAAGGGCCUCAGAAGACAUCUCACUUACAACUUCAACCAAUGUACAUGUCAAAAUAACACAGAUGGCUCUGUCUGUCAGCCCAUGGACUCCUCAAAUGAUUUGUGCGGUGGCCUCUUGCCUUUUAUGAAGCUCAAGAAGCAAAUGGAUUUAAAUACACAUACAUGUUAUCAGACCAAACAGGAAGUUUCUACAUAGACACAUGAGUGAACACACACACACACCCACCACUGCCAUUAUCAUGCACACAUCAACUACACUGGACCUCCUCUUUCUGACUGAAACUGAUAAAUAUGCAGGAUACCCCCAUCCUAGAUUUCCUUAAUGCAGGUUCCCUUCUUCCAGACCUUUGAAGGUGGGAAAGGAGCUGUAUGUGUGUCUUCUGCAGAUCCCUACUUACCCAUCUGCAGCCCAGCCAGUUGGCUCUGUGAGGUGCCAAGUUAACCCAGGCACACAAGUUUGGAACCCUGUUCUCUGCACUCCAUACAAUACAUCUUGAUUACACCACAGCUACUUUACUUGCAAAAACUGGUCAGACAGAACAUGCCAUGAUGACCUUGUACCAAAUGCAAAAUGGCAGGUCGUUUGCCCUAAAGGCUAUACUGUACAUACUUGCCUUAAACCACCUGCAUUGUGUGCCCGAGACUCUCAGUGCAAAUGUCCCCCAGUCACAUCCUUUAGGCGAACACACUGCUAUUAAUUCCGGACUAUUGAAUCAAGGAAUAAGACUGAAC